GAAUAUUGGACAAUGGGCGAAAGCCUGAUCCAGCAAUGCCGCGUGAGUGAUGAAGGCCUUAGGGUUGUAAAGCUCUUUCGGCGGGGACGAUGAUGACGGUACCCGCAGAAGAAGCCCCGGCUAACUCCGUGCCAGCAGCCGCGGUAAUACGGAGGGGGCUAGCGUUGUUCGGAAUUACUGGGCGUAAAGGGCGCGCAGGCGGCUGCUCAAGUCAGGCGUGAAAGGCCUGGGCUCAACCCGGGAAUUGCGCUUGAGACUGAGCUGGCUUGAGUGCGGGAGAGGAUGGUGGAAUUCCCAGUGUAGAGGUGAAAUUCGUAGAUAUUCGGAAGAACACCAGUGGCGAAGGCGACUCGCUGGACAGGUAUUGACGCUGAGGUGCGAAAGCGUGGGGAGCAAACAGG
rnacentral:rRNA from 1 species